rnacentral:lncRNA from 1 species
GUGCUUAGGCACCGAGUUCCCCUGCGACGUGCAGAAGAGGGUCCAGCCGAAGAGCCACAGCAGGUACGCCUCCAAGUGACGCGCUACUGUGGCCUCGUUUGCGUCCUCUCUCAUGUACUCGGCCUGCAAAACAAUUUCAGACUUGUGUCAACAAUAAGAAAAAUUGACAAAAAUUAUUUGGACUUCCUGCUAAUUAAAUAUUCACACUGAACUGCUGGAACCAUGCCUUCGUCGGGCCGUGGGAGUUGCUAAAAGUGUGGUACUGCGGGGCACCGUCUACGCGGGGAAUGUCCGCAAACCGACCCAGCAGCUUGUCACGCCAGACAGGUAGGACGUCCAUCGCGGCUACGGCGGCU